rnacentral:rRNA from 1 species
GAUUAAGCAAGGAAGGGCGUACGGCGGAUGCCUGGCCACUCGUUACUGAAGAAGGACGUGCCAAACUGCGAAAAGCGCCGCGGAGCCGUUAGGAGGCGAAGAUGCGGCGAUAUCCGAAUGGGGGAACCCGGCAGGUCGGAGACCUGUCACCGGACGAUGAACACAUAGUCGUCGCGGGAGGUACCCGGAGAACUGAAACAUCUAAGUACCCGGAGGAAGAGAAAACAAAAGUGAUUCCCCAAGUAGCGGCGAGCGAACGGGGAGAAGCCCAAACCGUCCUUAGGGACGGGGUUGCGGACUGCGGGAUGGGAAGGCGAACAUAGUCGAAGGCGAACGGAAGCGCCGCCGGAGAGGGUGAAAGCCCCGUAGACGAAAUGCGAGCCGGACCUAGCAGGAUCCAGAGUACGGCGAGACACGAGGAAUCUUGUCGGAAGCAGGCGGGACCAUCCGCCAAGGCUAAAUAUAGACGAGUGAGCGAUAGUGAACAAGUACCGUGAGGGAAAGGUGAAAAGAACCGCGGGAGCGGAGUGAAAGAGAACCUGAAACCGUAUGCCUACAAGAAGUCAGAGCCCGUUGAAGGGUGAUGGCGUGCCUUUUGUAGAAUGAACCGGCGAGUUGCGGUCUGAUGCGAGGUUAAGCAGGAAAAUGCGGAGCCGGAGCGAAAGCGAGUCUUAAGAGGGCGAAAGUAGCAGGCUGCAGACCCGAAACCGGGGUGAUCUAGCCAUGAGCAGGUUGAAGUUGAGGUGAAACUCAAUGGAGGACCGAACCGACCAUCGUUGAAAAGCUGGCGGAUGACUUGUGGCUAGGGGAGAAAUUCCAAUCGAACCCGGAGAUAGCUGGUUCUCCCCGAAAUAGCUUUAGGGCUAGCGUCAGAAAGAGGACGUGCGGAGGUAGAGCACUGAAUGUGUGAUGGCCCCAUCCAGGGGUACUGAACCCAAUCAAACUCCGAAUGCCGUACGUCCGGAAGGCAGUCAGACCAUGAGUGAUAAAGUCCGUGGUCAAGAGGGAAACAGCCCGGACCGCCAGCUAAGGUCCCAAAAUUCAGGCCAAGUGGAAAAGGAAGUGGGGAUGCCCAGACAACUAGGAGGUUGGCUCAGAAGCAGCCAUCCUUCAAAGAGUGCGUAACAGCUCACUAGUCGAGUGCCCCUGCGCCGAAAAUGUACCGGGGCUAAGCCUGAUACCGAAGCUGCGGAUUUGCCGGAAGGCAAGUGGUAGGGGAGCGUUGCAUGCAGGAAGAAGCCGUACCGAGAGGAGCGGUGGACCGCAUGGAAGUGAGAAUGCCGGUGUGAGUAGCGAGAUGCAGGUAAGAAUCCUGCACACCGAAAGCCUAAGGAUUCCAGGGGAAGGUUCGUCCUCCCUGGGUAAGUCGGGACCUAACGCGAGGCCGAAGGGCGUAGCGGAUGGGAAACAGGCAGAAAUUCCUGUACCCGUAUCUGGAGCGACGGAGUGACGGAGACGGCUAAGAUGACCCUAUGAACGGAUUUAGGGCGAAGCGGAGCAGUCGGUGACCAGGCAAAUCCGGUCACGGAAGACAGGACGCGAGAGGGAAGCGAAAGCUGCGGCGAGUAGCGAAGCAUCCGAGGCCGGCUUCCGAGAAAAGCUUCUAGCAAUGCAGAUACGGCCCGUACCAAAACCGACACAGGUAGGCGGGGAGAGGAUCCCAAGGUGAGCGAGAGAACUGUUGCCAAGGAACUCGGCAAAAUGGCUCCGUACGUUAGCAAGAAGGAGCGCUCGAGAGAGCCGCAGUGAAAAGGCCCAAGCGACUGUUUAACUAAAACAUAGCUCUCUGCGAAGCCGCAAGGCGAAGUAUAGGGGGUGACACCUGCCCGGUGCUGGAAGGUUAAGAGGAUCUGUCAAUCUACGGAUGAAGCAGUGAGCCGAAGCCCCAGUGAACGGCGGCCGUAACUAUAACGGUCCUAAGGUAGCGAAAUUCCUUGUCAGGUAAGUUCUGACCCGCACGAAAGGUGUAACGAUUUGGGCGCUGUCUCGGCAGCAGACUCGGUGAAAUCUUAGUACCUGUGAAAAUGCAGGUUACCCGCAACUAGACGGAAAGACCCCAUGGAGCUUUACUGCAGCUUGAUAUUGAAUCUUGGUCGUACAUGUACAGGAUAGGUGGGAGGCGAAGAGACGUGCACGCCAGUGUACGAGGAGCCGCCGGUGGGAUACCACUCUUGUGCGGCCGGGAUUCUAACCCAGGCGAUUGAAACAUGGCCGGGGACCGUGUCAGGCAGGCAGUUUGACUGGGGCGGUCGCCUCCCAAAGAGUAACGGAGGCGCCCAAAGGUACGCUCAGAUUGGAUGGAAACCAAUCGCGGAGUGCAAAUGCAGAAGCGUGCUUGACUGUGAGGCCGACAAGCCGAACAGGGACGAAAGUCGGGAUUAGUGAUCCGGCGGUGCCGAAUGGAAGGGCCGUCGCUCAACGGAUAAAAGCUACCCUGGGGAUAACAGGCUGAUCUCGCCCAAGAGUUCACAUCGACGGCGAGGUUUGGCACCUCGAUGUCGGCUCAUCGCAUCCUGGAGCUGGAUUCGGUUCCAAGGGUUGGGCUGUCCGCCCAUUAAAGCGGUACGCGAGCUGGGUUCAGAACGUCGUGAGACAGUUCGGUCCCUAUCUGUUGUGGGCGUUGGAGAUCUGAGGAGAGCUGUCCUUAGUACGAGAGGACCGGGAUGGACCUGCCGCUGGUGUACCGGUUGUUCCGCCAGGAGCACGGCCGGGUAGCUAAGCAGGGAAAGGAUAAGCGCUGAAAGCAUCUAAGCACGAAACCUACUCCAAGAUGAGAUCUCCCAAUCAGUAAGGCCCCUUAAAGACGAUAAGGUUGAUAGGCCGGGGAUGGAAGCGCAGCGAUGCGCGGAGUUGACCGGUACUAAUAGGCCGAGGGCUUAAUCAG